CGCUCUGUUGGCUUAGUGGUUAGAGCGUCUGCCUCGGAUCCUGGAGAUCGUGGGUUCGAACCCCGCCUGAGUCA